rfam:Pteropus alecto contig35394, whole genome shotgun sequence.
GUCUACGACCAUGCCACCCUGAGCAAGCCCGAUGUCUGAUCUCAGAAGCUAAGCAGGGUUGGGCCUGGUUAGUACUUAGAUGGGAGACCACCUAGGAAGACCAGGUGCUGUAGGCA